AAAUACUUCUUCCUAGAGGAUGAGAGGACUGCAUUCAAUAAACGCAGAGCAAAUUGUUUCAUGCUCAUUCCACAAUUAUUCAGUGUGAUGAGUUACAUCAUAACAGCAGACGACGAGGAGGACGAAGAGUGAGUGAGCUUGUGUGGAGCUAUCAAGGAGGUUUAUUAGAUUAUAAUAAGCAUAUCAGCAAACCAAGUCAUAAAAUGCACUUCUCUGAACGACCCAGGAUAAUAGGAGGACGGACGGACGAAGAAAGAAGUGUCUAUUCGAGUGGGACGUGUAAUAAUAGGAUGAUAACAUUAUAUUAGUUAUAGUGCUUUCUUCGCUGCUACAACGUAGAGAUAAUGUAACAUUUAAUAAUCCAAGUGAUUUUAACGAGUGUGUGUCCCUUCCAAAUUAUGGUGGGAAUUGACUUUGAAUAGUUUGAUGCUGGUUUUUUAUAAUAAUAAAAGGCAUAUAAAAAUCCCAUAACAAGCCCGAAAGAACGGAGAGAUUGGUUUUGGUUGAAUUUGGUUUAUCGUCAACUUGUGUUGUACACGUAGUUAUUUACUUAUGUAGGAGAUAAGAGGUAUUAGAUGAACGACCGGAUAGAGAAGACUAAUAGGCUCAAGUCACUUCUUUACAAUUUUAACUGGAACACAUAGAAAGCCUCACCACCAACCAACACCAACUAUUUAACUAACAAGGCUACCACACGUAUAAAGGUUUUGGCUGGACAGAAAAGGAUGAGUUAUGGACUUUCCUUGCGUCCUCCUAACGAGAAGCUCAAACCAAUCUAAUCUGACUGCGAUAUGGUGUGAGUCUUAUUAACAAGGCUCGUCUCCAACCAGCAACUAACCAGCAGAAGAAGAAAUCAGAGGGCAGGGAGGCAGAGGACGGGGCAAGGCCUCGAAGAAGGAAUGCGAAGAUGAGGAGGAAGGUAAUAAGCAAGUGUUUGGAUGUAAUGGCUAAUGUGUCCAUUGGGUUUCUGGCUGGACCUCUCCCCUAUUUUUAAACCCUUAUCAUGAAAUAAUUUACUAGAUUGAUUUAUGUCCGCCGUUUACAUCCUCAGCAUUUAAUUAUACCUCUUCAACUCCUUGUUAGCCACGAAGAAGGAAAAGACGCAAUCUCGUAUUCCCAUAUCCUCACAUACAUACCUGCUUCCCUGCCCAACAUGUAGGAUCCUUACCUCCAGUACAUGCUAUGACCCUUUUAAGUAUACUAUUAUUAGAUGUGAGAUAACUCUCGUAUUCUGCCUUCAGCACUCAUUUUGGGGAAUUUGACCGUAUUUUAAAAACUUAAACUUGGAAACAUGGGUCUAAUAGCCGUUGCCCACACUGCUUAUAUACAUAUUCUUAAACCAUCACACCUCAUCGUCUGAGCAAAUGCAUUACGUUGGAAAGUAUUAUGGUCGUGUAUUUUGUUUAGUUACAUAACUGAGAUGGAUUGCAUCUUCGGAUUAUUGCAGAGGCAUGUAUUGGGUUUGUUGCUCAAUUUCACUUUCAGAACUUCUAGGUAAAGAAUUUUCAAGGAAGGGUUCUCUUACAUAUGAUGAGACAUUCUCCAUCGAAAACUUUGUUGGGAGUAGAGAUUGACAAUUUCUAAGAACAGAAUGAAACGAUGAUUGACUGAGACAUGACAUUUUGCAGAUAAUUAUAGCUAUCUAGUAAAUUUGGAUUAUUACAUAGUUUUGCGAUUUCUUUGAAAUGUGCCACAACAAAUUUUCAGCAAAUGUGAUAUAAUUUGAAGGAUUCUAAUGAAUAUGAGAUAAUGGAUGCAAGUCAGUUUAAAAGCAGGUCGAAAAGCAGCUUCUCCACCGCAUACAAAAGUAACGAAAUUGAAUGCUGACAACACUCGACGAGAAAAAUGAGUUGCUGCAGAGUGCAAACCGGUUUAAAGUUAAAGUUGGUUGCUUUCCCACCCCAUUCCGCAUUAUUUAUAAAUUAAGGCACCUUAACAUGUUUAAAUUACGAUCAAAAUAAAUAAAUGUUUAACUAAUAAUUAUCCUCCUCCUCCUCUGUUUUCUAUCUCUCUCUUCAUCUUACUCUCC